AAUCAUCAUAACAACUAGAAAUAAGCAUUUGUUGGCCCAUUGUGGAUUGGAUGAUGAAUGUAUAUAUAGGGUUGAGGAGUUAGUUGAUCAUGAAGCCUUUCAACUCUUUUGUUCGAAAGCCUUUAAGAACAAUUGCCCAAAAGAAGAUUAUGUGGAGUUGUGUAACCAAUUUGUGAGUUAUGCUAGUGGCCUCCCGUUAGCUCUUAGUGUUUUAGGUUCAUCCUUGUACACUAAAUCAAUCAAAGAAUGGAACAGUGUAUUGGACAGAUUGAAAGAUAUUCCAAGUGCAGAAAUACUUAGAAAACUUCAAAUAAGCUUUGAUGGACUGGAUGAGAUACAGAAGAAAAUAUUUCUAGAUAUAGCAUGUUUUUUCAAUGGAAGAGAAGACAAUUAUGUGAGAAAAAUACUAGAAAGUUGUGGAUUCUACCCAGACAGCGGGAUAGGAGAACUCAUUAACAAAUCUCUAAUAAUUGUAUCAGAUAAACGAGUGUGGAUGCAUGAUUUACUUCGAGAAAUGGGUCAAGAGAUUGUUCGUCGGGAGUCUCCCAAGGAACCAGGAAAACGCAGUAGAAUAUGGCUAUAUGAAGAUGUCUAUCAUAUCUUGAUGAAUGAUACUGUAAGUAAAUCAAUUGUAAUGUGACUAUACUUUGUUAUUUAACAAGACAUUAACAUAAAUUAAGUUUCUACAAAGUGUUUCUUAUUGUUUUUUUUCUAUUAUUAUUUGUUGCCUUUGAUGUUUAGGGAUCUGAAGAAAAUGAAGGCAUAGUCCUGGAUUUAGUUGGUGAAAAAGGCCAAUUGAUCAGAGCUAAAGGUUUAUCAAAGAUGAAAUAUCUAAGACUGCUCAUUCUCCAAAAUGCGUGCAUUUUUCAUGACCUUGAAUAUCUUUCAAAUGAAUUAA
rnacentral:misc_RNA from 1 species